rnacentral:rRNA from 1 species
UAGGGUUUGAUUAUGGCUCAGGAUGAACGCUAGCGGCAGGCUUAACACAUGCAAGUCGAGGGGUAACAGGGAUUGCUUGCAAUCCGCUGACGACCGGCGCACGGGUGCGUAACGCGUAUGCAACCUACCUUCUACAAGUAGGAUAGCCCAGUGAAAUUUGGAUUAAUACUCUAUACGAUCAUUAACUGGCAUCAGUCAAUGAAGAAAACUCCGGUGGUAGAAGAUGGGCAUGCGUCCUAUUAGUUAGUUGGUAAGGUAAUGGCUUACCAAGACUUCGAUAGGUAGGGGUCCUGAGAGGGAGAUCCCCCACACUGGUACUGAGACACGGACCAGACUCCUACGGGAGGCAGCAGUGAGGAAUAUUGGACAAUGGAGGCAACUCUGAUCCAGCCAUGCCGCGUGCAGGAAGACGGCCCUACGGGUUGUAAACUGCUUUUUAUACAGGAAGAAUUUUGCCUACGUGUAGGCAUUUGACGGUACUGUACGAAUAAGGAUCGGGCUAACU